rnacentral:tRNA from 1 species
AAAAAAUUAGUUAAUCUAUAAUAUAAUUUUGUCAAAAUUAAGUUAUCCACGGAUAUUUUUUU